UGAGGUUCGGACAUACUUGACCCAAGUGCAGCUGGGAAUGCUGGAGCUACACAAGCAAUCCUGGUCAUGUGCUGUUCUUGCACUCAUGGGUAUGCUCUUUACCUAUGAGGAGAUGGCAGACAGCAUAGUUUCAGCAUUUAGAUUAAAGGAGGAGAAUAAGGGAAGCAGUUGCUUGACCAAGACAAGGUGGAUGCCAUCAUUGAAUAUGCUAUGGGAAGAUUGCUAGGAGUGACCUCAGCAGAAAAUAAGAGGAAGAUGGGCCAAAAACUGAAGGACACCAGGGUAGCACGCAGGAGAAAGCCUGUCAAAUGGUCAUACAGCAUCCAAGGGCAACUUCUUGAGACUGGAAACUGCUAAAUAUCUUGAUGUUCACCUCAAGAGCAACCUGAAUUGGACAGAUCACAUAA